rnacentral:lncRNA from 1 species
CUUGAAUAAGACCGGUAUCACUCAGAUUACAAUUCUACAUUGACAGGUAAGUUUGUAUUUAGCCUAUGAAAUGCUUAUUUAGCCUUGAGAAUUGAAAGGUCAGUUUCCCUUUCAUACAAUAGAAGUUGAUAAAUUUGGCUUCAUGCCAUUUACCUUGUCCAAAAUUAAUGUCACUUUAUUGUUAUUGUGAUAUUGUUAAAGUACAAAGGAACCCUAUAUUCUGACCAAUACUUAAAACGUUAUGCAUCUUGAUUUAAUUGUUAAAAGUCUGUUAAUGUUGAGUUUUAGGGGUU